UGGAUCCCAACUCAGCAGGAAUCCUAAUCCCCGGGUGGUAUUCAAAAUCAUUGCUCUGAUUGUGGGCCUUGUUAAAACAUGUCACGUUAUCUAUCAAGUAAGUACUAGUAAUUGCUUGCUAGCUGCCGAACUUUGCAAUUGAUUUCUUCCUCUGGCAUCCCUUAACCCACCUCCCUCCCCACUCGAAAUCAGUUUUCUUUUUUGCAAACUGUAUGUCAUAUCCCUCAGUGCUUUUAGUACCUUUCAUCUGCUGCAUAUAUGCAGAAAUCCCCUCAAUAGGGCCACCAUUUUCUUGCAACAGGCAAGGGUGGACUAUUUUAUCAAAGGUUUACUUUCUUAACUAUCUUAAUGUCAUGGUAGAAAUUAGGGGCUGAUGUGAAUUUGUAUAGGAUGUAUAGGGUUAGCAUGUUACGGAACUCUUAAGAUGGCCUAAGGGCAUUGUGGGAGAUUUUGUGUUAGUAUACCCCCAUUAACUUUUGUAAGGGGCAUAGCCUUACAAAAUCCUAGUAAAAAGGUGAACAUGGUUUCCUGUUAUGAUUAAUGCAUUAAAAUUUCAAAAAAAAAACAUCACAGUUUACCAGAUAACUUUCCUUCAGCUUUUAGUUCCCGUUACCUCAUCUCUACUGGAAUUGUGCUUCAUUUGAGGGAAAAUAAUACAAUUCAGUUUACGGAAUCUUUAUAUUUCAUCAGCUUAUUUGCAUUGCUUGUUCUAUGACAGGCAAAUGAAACCCUUUUCAUGCUCUGAGAGGAUCAGGAUGUUGCGGCCUUUUUAACCAGUAAAUGUUUCUUUUAGCUAUGGUGCAAUGUUUCCCGUGAACAUGAUGAAGUGACCUUUUGUUAUCCAAGUUUUUGACUUUUCCUUAAA
rnacentral:lncRNA from 1 species